rnacentral:rRNA from 1 species
AAUAUUGCACAAUGGGUGAAAGCCUGAUGCAGCAACGCCGCGUGAGCGCUGAAGGCUUAAGGGUCGUAAAGCUUUGUCCUAAGGGAAGAUUACGACGGUACCUUAGCAGGAAGAUCCGGCUAACUACGUUCUAGCAGCCUCGGUAAUACGUAGGGGGCGAGCGUUGUCCGGAAUUACUGGGCGUAAAGGGUACGUAGGCGGCUAUAUAAGUCAGGUGUGAAAUACCAGUGCUUAACACUGGAAUUGCAUUUGAAACUGUGUAGCUUGAGUGCAGGAGAGGAAAGUGGAAUUCCUAGUGUAGCGGUGAAAUGCGUAGAGAUUAGGAGGAACACCAGUGGCGAAGGCGACUUUCUGGACUGUAACUGACGCUGAGGUACGAAAGCGUGGGUAGCGAACA